rnacentral:rRNA from 1 species
UACGUAGGGUGCGAGCGUUAAUCGGAAUUACUGGGCGUAAAGUGUGCGCAGGCGGCUUCGCAAGUCGAGUGUGAAAUCCCCGAGCUUAACUUGGGAAUUGCGCUCGAAACUACGGAGCUGGAGUGUGGCAGAGGAAGGUGGAAUUCCUGGUGUAGCGGUGGAAUGCGCAGAUAUCAGGAGGAACACCAAUGGCGAAGGCAGAUCUCUGGGCCGUAACUGACGCUGAGGAGCGAAAGCAUGGGGAGCGAACAGG